CAGCUCUCCGAGUGGUAGGGAUGAUUAUUGGGCCUAAAGCAUCCGUAGCCGGCGCUGUAAGUUUUCGGUUAAAUCUGUAUGCUCAACAUACAGGCUGCCGGGAAUACUGCAGAGCUAGGGAGUGGGAGAGGUAGACGGUACUCGGUAGGAAGGGGUAAAAUCCUUUGAUCUAUUGAUGACCACCUGUGGCGAAGGCGGUCUACCAGAACACGUCCGACGGUGAGGGAUGAAAGCUGGGGGAGCAAACCGGAUUAGAUACCCGAGUAGUCC
rnacentral:rRNA from 1 species